rnacentral:rRNA from 1 species
GGAUGAACGCUGGCGGCGUGCCUAACACAUGCAAGUCGAACGGAGUUACGAGAGCUUGCUUUGUAACUUAGUGGCGGACGGGUGAGUAAUGCGUGAGCAACCUGCCUUUCAGAGGGGGACAACAGUUGGAAACGACUGCUAAUACCGCAUAACGUAUCGUGAGGGCAUCCUCGUGAUACCAAAGGAGCAAUCCGCUGAAAAGAUGGGCUCACGUCUGAUUAGCUGGUUGGUGGGGUAACGGCUCACCCAAGGCUGCGAUCAGUAGCCGGACUGAGAGGUUGAACGGCCACAUUGGGACUGAGAUACGGCCCAGACUCCUACGGGAGGCAGCAGUGGGGAAUAUUGGGCAAUGGGCGAAAAAGCCUGACCCAGCAACGCCGCGUGAAGGAAGAAGGUCUUCGGAUUGUAAACUUCUUUUAUGAGGGACGAAGGACGUGACGGUACCUCAUGAAUAAGCCACGGCUAACUACGUGCCAGCCGCCGC